rnacentral:rRNA from 1 species
CUACGGGAGGCUGCAGUCGAGAAUUUUUCACAAUGGGGGAAACCCUGAUGGAGCGACGCCGCGUGGAGGAUGACGGUUUUCGGAUUGUAAACUCCUGUCAUUAGAGAACAAGGCACACGGUUUAACUGGCCGUGUGUUGAUAGUAUCUGAAGAGGAAGAGACGGCUAACUCUGUGCCAGCAGCCGCGGUAAUACAGAGGUCUCAAGCGUUGUUCGGAUUCAUUGGGCGUAAAGGGUGCGUAGGUGGCGAUGUAAGUCGGAUGUGAAAUCUCCAAGCUUAACUUGGAAACUGCAUUCGAUACUGCGUUGCUCGAGGACUGUAGAGGGCAUUGGAAUUCACGGUGUAGCAGUGAAAUGCGUAGAUAUCGUGAGGAAGACCAGUGGCGAAGGCGAAUGCCUGGGCAGUUCCUGACACUGAGGCACGAAGGCCAGGGGAGCAAACGGGAUUAGAUACCCUUGUAGUC